UGAUUCUUCGGAUGAAGAUCUUGGUGACUGAGUGGCGGACGGGUGAGUAACGCGUGGGUAACCUGCCUCAUACAGGGGGAUAACAGUUAGAAAUGACUGCUAAUACCGCAUAAGACCACAGCACCGCAUGGUGCAGGGGUAAAAACUCCGGUGGUAUGAGAUGGACCCGCGUCUGAUUAGGUAGUUGGUGGGGUAACAGCCUACCAAGCCGACGAUCAGUAGCCGACCUGAGAGGGUGACCGGCCACAUUGGGACUGAGACACGGCCCAAACUCCUACGGGAGGCAGCAGUGGGGAAUAUUGCACAAUGGGGGAAACCCUGAUGCAGCGACGCCGCGUGAGCGAUGAAGUAUUUCGGUAUGUAAAGCUCUAUCAGCAGGGAAGAAAAUGACGGUACCUGACUAAGAAGCACCGGCUAAAUACGUGCCAGCAGCCGCGGUAAUACGUAUGGUGCAAGCGUUAUCCGGAUUUACUGGGUGUAAAGGGAGCGUAGACGGAGUGGCAAGUCUGAUGUGAAAACCCGGGGCUCAACCCCGGGACUGCAUUGGAAACUGUCAAUCUAGAGUACCGGAGAGGUAAGCGGAAUUCCUAGUGUAGCGGUGAAAUGCGUAGAUAUUAGGAGGAACACCAGUGGCGAAGGCGGC
rnacentral:rRNA from 1 species